GGGUGGUAAUACCGGAUGCUCCGCUCCAUCGCAUGGUGGGGUGGGAAAUGCUUUUGCGGCAUGGGAUGGGGUCGCGUCCUAUCAGCUUGUUGGCGGGGUGAUGGCCCACCAAGGCGUUGACGGGUAGCCGGCCUGAGAGGGUGACCGGCCACAUUGGGACUGAGAUACGGCCCAGACUCCUACGGGAGGCAGCAGUGGGGAAUAUUGCACAAUGGGCGCAAGCCUGAUGCAGCGACGCCGCGUGCGGGAUGGAGGCCUUCGGGUUGUAAACCGCUUUUGUUCAAGGGCAAGGCACGGUUUCGGCCGUGUUGAGUGGAUUGUUCGAAUAAGCACCGGCUAACUACGUGCCAGCAGCCGCGGUAAUACGUAGGGUGCGAGCGUUAUCCGGAUUUAUUGGGCGUAAAGGGCUCGUAGGCGGUUCGUCGCGUCCGGUGUGAAAGUCCAUCGCCUAACGGUGGAUCUGCGCCGGGUACGGGCGGGCUGGAGUGCGGUAGGGGAGACUGGAAUUCCCGGUGUAACGGUGGAAUGUGUAGAUAUCGGAAAGAACA
rnacentral:rRNA from 1 species